rnacentral:rRNA from 1 species
CAUCUUGAUUUAAUUUUGAACGAGUGGCGGACGGGUGAGUAACACGUGGGUAACCUGCCCUUAAGUGGGGGAUAACAUUUGGAAACAGAUGCUAAUACCGCAUAAAUCCAAGAACCGCAUGGUUCUUGGCUGAAAGAUGGCGUAAGCUAUCGCUUUUGGAUGGACCCGCGGCGUAUUAGCUAGUUGGUGAGGUAACGGCUCACCAAGGCAAUGAUACGUAGCCGAACUGAGAGGUUGAUCGGCCACAUUGGGACUGAGACACGGCCCAAACUCCUACGGGAGGCAGCAGUAGGGAAUCUUCCACAAUGGACGCAAGUCUGAUGGAGCAACGCCGCGUGAGUGAAGAAGGCUUUCGGGUCGUAAAACUCUGUUGUUGGAGAAGAAUGGUCGGCAGAGUAACUGUUGUCGGCGUGACGGUAUCCAACCAGAAAGCCACGGCUAACUACGUGCCAGCAGCCGCGGUAAUACGUAGGUGGCAAGCGUUAUCCGGAUUUAUUGGGCGUAAAGCGAGCGCAGGCGGUUUUUUAAGUCUGAUGUGAAAGCCCUCGGCUUAACCGAGGAAGUGCAUCGGAAACUGGGAAACUUGAGUGCAGAAGAGGACAGUGGAACUCCAUGUGUAGCGGUGAAAUGCGUAGAUAUAUGGAAGAACACCAGUGGCGAAGGCGGCUGUCUGGUCUGUAACUGACGCUGAGGCUCGAAAGCAUGGGUAGCGAACAGGAUUAGAUACCCUGGUAGUCCAUGCCGUAAACGAUGAAUGCUAGGUGUUGGAGGGUUUCCGCCCUUCAGUGCCGCAGCUAACGCAUUAAGCAUUCCGCCUGGGGAGUACGACCGCAAGGUUGAAACUCAAAGGAAUUGACGGGGGCCCGCACAAGCGGUGGAGCAUGUGGUUUAAUUCGAAGCAACGCGAAGAACCUUACCAGGUCUUGACAUCUUUUGAUCACCUGAGAGAUCAGGUUUCCCCUUCGGGGGCAAAAUGACAGGUGGUG